GACGAACGCUGGCGGCGUGCUUAACACAUGCAAGUCGAACGGAAAGGCCUGCUUUCCCUUGUGGAUUGCGGGUACUCGAGUGGCGAACGGGUGAGUAACACGUGAGUGAUUUGUCCCCAACUUGGGUAUAAGCCUGGGAAACUGGGUCUAAUUCCCGAUAGUACUGUAGGGUGGUGCCUGUGGUGGAAAACGAUUUUCUCGUGGUUGGGGAUGAGCGCGCGGCCUAUCAGCUUGUUGGUGGGGUAAUGGACUAACAAGGCGGCGACGGGUACUCGGCCUGAGAGUGUGGACGAUGACAUUGAGACUGAGGUACGGCCCAGACUCCUACGUGGGACAGCAGUGGCGAGAAUUGCGCAAUAAGAAGAACCCUGAAGCAUCGACGCGGAGUAUCAGAUAGCGACCGUCGGGAUGUAAACUCCGUUCGAACAAGAGAAUGCCACCUGGCUGGAGGCGUGGUGACGGUAGUAGUAGAAGAAGCACCGGCUAACUACGUG
rnacentral:rRNA from 1 species